UUGACAUCCAGCGAACUUGGCAGAGAUGCCUUGGUGCCUUCGGGAACGCUGAGACAGGUGCUGCAUGGCUGUCGUCAGCUCGUGUUGUGAAAUGUUGGGUUAAGUCCGCAACGAGCGCAACCCUUAUCCUUUGUUGCCAGCGAUUCGGUCGGGAACUCAAAGGAGACUGCCGGUGAUAAACCGGAGGAAGGUGGGGAUGACGUCAAGUCAUCAUGGCCCUUACGAGUAGGGCUACACACGUGCUACAAUGGCGCAUACAAAGAGAAGCGACCUCGCGAGAGCAAGCGGACCUCAUAAAGUGCGUCGUAGUCCGGAUCGGAGUCUGCAACUCGACUCCGUGAAGUCGGAAUCGCUAGUAAUCGUGGAUCAGAAUGCCACGGUGAAUACGUUCCCGGGCCUUGUACACACCGCCCGUCACACCAUGGGAGUGGGUUGCAAAAGAAGUAGGUAGCUUAACCUUCGGGAGGGCGCUUACCACUUUGUGAUUCAUGACUGGGGUGAAGUCGUAACAAGGUAAGCGUAGACGU
rnacentral:rRNA from 1 species